CUUCUAUAUAUAUAAUCCCUAUACCUUCUUGCGCCAUCUUGCGUUUCGACACGCUAAAGUCAGUUCAAAUUCUGAUUUUACAUUCAUUUUUGUGACGUUACAUACAAAGAGACCGACAUAAUUACCAUAUGAAUUAAUAAUGCAUAUCAGUAUGUAAGUGAAUAAUUGAACAAAUAUAUAGGCUAUAUGGUCAAUUUAUAGUGCAUUUAUAUCAGUAGGCUCUGUACUCUAUAGGCUAUUGUCAGUUUUGUUUAUGUUCUCCCGGCAACGGAUUAUUACAAUAGUUUUGCCCAAAGCCUAACUCUCUGUACAAAGACCAUCACUCCCUAGUAACAGAUCAUCUGUACAUAAGAGACAGGAGUGAAAUGUUACGGUCAUACACAGAUAUGAAGAAACACACAGACUUCGGUGACUCAUUCUGGAGUUUUGGAAAAGAGCAGGACUUCAAGCCUCACAUCAGACACGUUGAGCCUGUUCUCACUGAAUGUGACCUUGACUGGAAAUCCCAUUUGCGCUGGAUACCUGAACCUCGAUAUAGUGAUGCCCCAUUUCCACACAUCAAAGACAUAAAGUUUCCCAAUGAAAGGAAACUGAUGAGAUCCUUCCCACAGGCUAAUAGGGUGUCCGCAUCUGAGUGGAGCUUUUAUCCAAACAUCGGACAGCCCAAGACCUAUCACACUGGAAAGAGAUGUUUUAUGGAUGGCAUUAUGCAUACAAGAAGCAUGAGAUGCUUUUCAGAAAAUUCCCUGGAAUCAUCCAUAGGAAGGAAAAAGCAGGCCACAGACAAAUGCAGCAUCUACCCUUCAACAAAGGUCAGACCAUUUCUAGUUCCUGAGUACAGCUCUGACUUUCAUAAAUAUGAAUCAUCACUGCGCACAGCCACUUUUGGAUCCAAGCCGUUUGCCACAUUUAAACCAUUUAUUCACCUAAAACCCUCUACAAAAAACAUCAGGUAGGUAAAAUUAAUAAUAUUAUGGUGGCCUGCACCAUACAACUUCAUGGCUAAGAAAUAUUUUGUUUGAAUUUCUUAAGGUGUAUGUACUGUUUGCUUUUACAGUCCACUGUAUGCAGAGAAACAUAAAAGUCUUGCUCGAGAGGAGGACAUUCUUGAAGUCAAGAGGCUGAACAGCUGGAGACCAGCACCAGACAUCUAUGACAGGACAGUUUUGCUGGACACCUAAUUUGGAAGGUGUCAAACCAUGCUUACAUAUUUAUUGUUGUUAUUUUUAGUGUUUGCUGUUUUGUUAGACAUAUUUUAGUUCUAUCAAAGUGUUGAAGUAAAUAAAAUGGUCUUUCUUUCCUUCA
ensembl:lncRNA